GAAAGCCUUGUCAAAUAUGUGUUUCUAGGUUCACGGUGCAGAAGAAGGGUCAAACUACCACCAGGGUCAUAAAAGUACUGGAAAUGCCCACAACUCCUACGAAAGCCUUGUCAAAUAUGUGUUUCUAGGUUCACGGUACAGAAGAAGGGUCACACUACCACCAGGGUCAUAAAACUACCCCUGGAAAUGCCCACAACUCCUACGAAAGCCUUGUCAAAUAGGUGUUUCUAGGUUCACGGUACAGAAGAAGGGUCACACUACCACCAGGGUCAUAAAACUACCCCUGGAAAUGCCCACCACACCUACGAAAGCCUUGUCAAAUAGGUGUUUCUAGGUUCAUGGUACAGAG